rnacentral:rRNA from 1 species
CAGUAGCCGCGGUAAUACAGAGGGUGCAAGCGUUAAUCGGAAUUACUGGGCGUAAAGCGCGCGUAGGUGGUUUGUUAAGUUGGAUGUGAAAGCCCCGGGCUCAACCUGGGAACUGCAUCCAAAACUGGCAAGCUAGAGUACGGUAGAGGGUGGUGGAAUUUCCUGUGUAGCGGUGAAAUGCGUAGAUAUAGGAAGGAACACCAGUGGCGAAGGCGACCACCUGGACUGAUACUGACACUGAGGUGCGAAAGCGUGGGGAGCAAACAGGAUUAGAUACCCCCGUAGCCCUGUCUCUUAUACA